GUGAGGAAUUUUGCGCAAUGGGGGCAACCCUGACGCAGCGACGCCGCGUGGAGGACGAAGUCUUUCGGGAUGUAAACUCCUGUCAGUGGGGACGAUAAUGACGGUACCCACAGAGGAAGCACCGGCUAACUCCGUGCCAGCAGCCGCGGUAAGACGGAGGGUGCAAGCGUUGUUCGGAAUUACUGGGCGUAAAGCGUAUGUAGGCGGCAAGUUAAGUUCAAUGUUAAAGCCCACGGCUGAACCGAGGAGAUGCAUUGAAUACUGGCUAGCUAGAGGGUGUUAGAGGAAGACGGAAUUCCCAGUGUAGCGGUGAAAUGCGUAGAUAUUGGGAGGAACAUCGGUAGCGAAAGCGGUCUUCGGGGACAUACCUGACGCUGAGGUACGAAAGCGUGGGGAGCAAACGGGAUUAGAAACCCGGGUAGUCC
rnacentral:rRNA from 1 species